GCUUUCGAUGAUUGUCAAAACGCUUUACCUGAAAUUAGCAUAGCUAUUAUUCAUUCAAUAUACGACCAUACAUGUAUGCUUUAAACGUCUAUUUUUUCAUAUUGUUCAGAUAUAUUUGACACGUUGACCGCUUAGAUACCAGUGGUUUUUUGACAGCUAAGGUAUCAAUGAUUUGUUGUAAGUGUAUAAAUUAAUGAAUAGCGACUGUUAAGAUAUUUGUGACAUGUUGAGCGCUCACAGGUAAAUGCUACCAUGACAGUCAACAACUUUUUGACAGUUUAAACGUUUACCUCUCUUUGAGCACCUGGAGUGUAUAGCGACUUCUGCUGCUGACUGUACCAAUGGUUCUGAGUAACAUGAUUUAAAAGCCUCUUUUUAUUUUCUUUUUGGAAUUCACUCUUAACAUGGUUUUGCUUUCGACGGACUGAAAGAUUUUACUUUCGAAGGACUGAAAGUACGCCCGAUGGACUGGGCACUACUAUUUUGCUUUCGAUGGACUGAAGGCACGCCCGAUGGACUGGGUAUUGUUUAGUGACCGCAUCAGAAGUGCCGGAGCAUGUAAGAGGUGCAAGUGGUCUGCUUUUUAUGUGCAGAAUGCUCUUUGCGAGGAGUAGCACUUACGCGGCUGAGAUGGUUACUUCUGACGAGGGUCUGGUAUCUGCCGAAGGACUGGCAAUGCACCGAAGGACUGGUGUUGUUUUGUUAAAAAUGAAUUCCCGUUGAUGUACUGUGUUCAUAUGAGUAAAAUUGGCAUUAUUAAGUCAGUGUGCUAUUUAUUUUAAGAUGUCCUACAAUGAUUAUUAUCACAUAUGACCAAAGAUUUUUUUCUUAAUGCCAGAUAAUUUUCCCGUAAAUUGAUAUUGAUGACAAUAGUAGUGAUACUGUCGAGCAAUGAAUUAGAGCUGUUGUGAUUUGUGUUUUUGAUGUUUGAGAUUGUUCUGUUUUCACACAAAUUUGAGUGUAUCCGCUAGAUAGCGGCGAUGAUUACUGAUUAUUUUUUAUUUAGUCGUUGCUCGAUGGACUAUUUUUGACUAGAGAAUUGAGGAUUGUUAAAGUAAUUUUGAACAAUUAUUUUUUUUGGUUGGAUUGGUAACAAAGUUUGAUUUUAAUAGUAAUUUGAGUGAGACCCAAAUUGUGGGUCAGGAAUGACCGAGCGAUGAGAUACUGUGCUGAGUAUUUUGUUACAGAAUCAAAUGCAUACACCCACACACGAGGACGUGUGUAGCGCAGGAUGGCCGUGUCGGAGCCUGACACCAGAAAGACGUAUUGCAGCGUUAUAGUUCUUUAUUUUAGACGCCUGUAUAAAAUCGAUUAGCAAUGUUGAGCUACGUAUUAUUUGGUUGUAACAAAAUAAAUAAAGUUGUGUAGAGAGUAACGCCGUCUAUUGGCGCAUUGUGGAAAUAAAAUGACAGGUAGAAGGCUUUGGAACGUCGAGAGGUUUUUCUCGAGUGAGCGUAGGCACGAGUGGCAUUUUUGUCGGUAUGUUGGUAGACUGGUCGAGCAGGUUUGCCAACUUGACUUGAAGCGGGAGCAGGGUGGCUCCGCCGCUGGUAGUUCUUCUUGAUCGGACCGCGCUAGAGAUCGGACGUACUCGUUAGCCAACCUCGUGCCUAACUCGCUACGUUCCUGAAGGCUUAUACCUGAAGGAUUAUUCUGAUAGCUUAUAGAAUCUAGCCUUCUUUAACCAUUUAGCUAAGUGUUUUAUUUCAAGUGUUAUUUUGGUUUCUUAUGUUUCAUUAGAAGCUUACUUUUGUGAAAUAAAGAAAGGAUGUGU